UACGUAGGGUCCGAGCGUUGUCCGGAGUUACUGGGCGUAAAGCGCGCGCAGGCGGCUCACCAAGUCUGGCGUGAAAGCCCCCGGCUCAACCGGGGAGGGUCGUCGGAGACUGGUGGGCUUGAGGGCGGUAGGGGCUGGUGGAAUUCCAGGUGUAGCGGUGAAAUGCGUAGAUAUCUGGAGGAACACCGGUGGCGAAGGCGGCAUCCUGGACCAACACUGACGCUGAGUGAGCGAAAGCCAGGGGAGCAAACGGG
rnacentral:rRNA from 1 species